ACAGUCACAGUAAAAACCUCUCUGAAGAAGGCUCACUGCAGAGGUUUGAGAAGACACUGCAACAUCAGGGGUGUUUUUCUUGGAACUGUCACUGUGGAACCGGGCCCUGGGCAAUGAAGACAAAUGCCCUGGAAGUGAGUGGUCCCUGCAGAGAUGGGAUCGAGCGUCAGUUUCUUUCUGCAUCGGUGAUCACUCUGCGCUGGGAGUUACAAGGGUCUGGGAAUUUCAGCUGGGUCUGAGUACUGAGGGGAGCAAGGAGGGUGAGCAAGGUGAGCAGGACACACCGUGGGGCCCCCUUGGAAUGGCAGCGCAGUGGGAGCCAACACCAGGUCCAAGCUUGGAGACCACUCUUUUAGGAAGUUCUCAUCAGGAAGAGAAACCUACAAAGCAGUUACUGUGGUUAUUUGAGGUCUCUUAUACAUCCAUAUGAAACCCAAAACUUCUGCACAGCUAAGGAAACAAUCAUCAAAAUGAAAAUACAGCCUACAGAAUGACAAAAAUACUUGCUAACUGUCCAUCUGACAAAGGAUUAAUAUCCAGCACAUGUAAGAAACUAAAAAAAAAAAUAACAAAAAAUAAUCUA